rnacentral:rRNA from 1 species
AUGGCCAACGAGUGCCAGGCCAACUUCAUCAGCAUCAAGGGGCCAGAGCUGCUCACCAUGUGGUUCGGCGAGAGCGAGGCCAACGUGCGCGAGAUCUUCGACAAGGCCCGUCAAUCUGCGCCGUGCGUGCUGUUCUUCGACGAGCUCGACUCCAUCGCUACCCAAAGGGGCGGCAGAGUGGGCGACGCCGGUGGUGCGGCGGACAGGGUCCUGAACCAGCUACUCACCGAGUUGGACGGCAUGAACGCCAAGAAGACGGUGUUCAUCAUCGGAGCCACCAAUAGGCCCGACAUAAUUGACUCGGCGUUGCUCCGUCCCGGCCGCCUGGACCAGCUCAUCUACAUCCCCUUGCCAGACGAGGCCUCGCGUCACCAGAUCUUCAAGGCCUGCCUCAGGAAGUCUCCCGUGGCCAAGGACGUCGACCUUGGCGCGCUGGCAAGGUUCACCGCCGGCUUCAGCCGUGCCGACAUCACGGAGAUCUGCCAAAGGGCGUGCAAGUACGCCAUCAGGGAGGACAUUGAAAAGGACAUGGAGAGGCAGAGGAUGGGGAAAGACACCAUGGAGGUGGAUGGCGGGCAGGAAGAGGAGGCCACGGAGAUUAAGGCGGCUCACUUCGAGGAGUCGAUGAGGUACGCGAGGAGGAGCGUGAGCGACGCCGACAUCAGGAAGUACUAG